rnacentral:lncRNA from 1 species
AAUCCUUCUCAAAAGGGCCGCAGCACCCGCACCAACCAUCCUCUCCAAGCUCUCCAACCCCAUCCGUUCUGCUUCUGUAUCUCCCCUCGUUUCUCGGUCAUUCAACACCAAUAGCCAAGUCACCAGCUACGAUCAGGAUGAAAGCUCAGUCCCCGUUGGUCGCGGCACCGCCGACAGGUCUCCCUCCCGCCGCCGUGACCUCGGUUCUCCCUUCUUCUCAGGUAGUUGUUAUCUGUGUUCUCUUUCCUUUCCCCAGUUCUAAAAUGGUUCCAUUUGUUGAUCAGAUAUUUGAAAUUCUUAAUUGGGUUUGGUUUUCGAUCACGUAUCUCGAUUGGGUUUUUGUUUUCGUCAGAUAUUUGAAUUGGGUUUUGUUUGUUUUGUGAGUUGCACUCGGAUUUCUCCAAUUGGGUUUUUUCUCGGUCAAAAUUCUGAAAUUCUGAACUGAGUUUUGUAUUUGGUUAGAUUUCCCGGUUGGGUUUUCCUUUUGAUCAAACAUCUCACCAGGGUUCUGUUUAUUUUUGUGAGUUG